rnacentral:rRNA from 1 species
UGGGGAAUAUUGGACAAUGGGCGCAAGCCUGAUCCAGCCAUGCCGCGUGAGUGAUGAAGGCCCUAGGGUUGUAAACCGCUUUCAGCAGGGAAGAAAAUGACGGUACCUGUAGAAGAAGGUGCGGCCAACUACGUGCCAGCAGCCGCGGUGACACGUAGGCACCAAGCGUUGUCCGGAUUUAUUGGGCGUAAAGAGCUCGUAGGCGGUUCGGUAAGUCGGGUGUGAAAACUCUGGGCUCAACCCAGAGACGCCACCCGAUACUGCUGUGACUAGAGUGCGGUAGGGGAGCGGGGAAUUCCUGGUGUAGCGGUGAAAUGCGCAGAUAUCAGGAGGAACACCAGUGGCGAAGGCGCCGCUCUGGGCCGUGACUGACGCUGAGGAGCGAAAGCGUGGGUAGCAAA